UGGACAAAGUGGUCAAAAUAGUCAACUAAACCUUCCCUCGAGAAAGUUAUGUAGCCAAUGAGUGCACUUUAUUUUGUAUGAGCUUCCCUCUCCUUCUUUAACAAUUUUUACUUGUACCUCUUGCUUUCUUCAUCAUUGCACUUUUCCAGAUGUCCUCCACCACCACCACUAUGAGUCCACCAUACCAAAUAACAGAAUCCUUAGGACCCUUCUUCCCCAAAACACGAGAGAAACAAACUCAGAAAGAGAGCAUUGGAGAUCUGGAGGCUUUCUUUGAUGCUACUGCAACAACACAAGUUGUUUUUCCAUCCUUUGUGGGGAAGAAAGGUAUCUCUGGCACAUGGAAGAAAUGGAGAGAGCUGAAGAAGCUGCAAUGAUGCGAGUCACGUAGGGGCUGGGUAUGGCAAUAGAGUUGAUCCUGUACUGUAUUCAGAACUGGCUGGAGACUCCUCAUAUAAACCAGGUUGCCUACAGCAUUUUAACCAUAAAUUAGACACUGUAUGAUGAGUAAUCAUGCUUAAUCCCAAAUAUUAAAACCCCUGUUUCUAUUACCUCCAAGAUGGUCGACUUCCAUCAUUACUACUCCUUAGAUCCUCUAUCAGGUCUUUAAAAUCAUCAAGUUUAAAAUCAAUGUCACAGAUUUUUUGUCCAUGUACAUUUUCUUUGCUCCGAUUCAGGAAAUCUUGGAGAACCUGAAUGUCAUGUUUUAUAAACAUAUGAGGACAGAAGCAAAAUCUGUGUGCAUAAUAAGAGUCAAGGAGGAAUAAACUUGGGGUACUGUUGUACUGAGCCUGUGAGAUCAACGUAAUCAGUUCAACUUUCCACGUUACAGCAUAUACGUGGUGAAACAUGGAAGUUGAUUGAUCUUGGGUAAAAACCAGUUUGACAUUAUAAUUAUGCUUAUCUCUAUAGCGCUGAAGGUCAUAUUGAUAAACUGCACCUACACAAGUGGUCAAGUGCAUCAGAUAUUUAGAUGUUGACAACAAAAGCUCACCUUCCAAGCAUUUUCCAGACUCUGGUCUGUAUUUUCUUCACUAACUUUCAGUGCAAGUGAGCUGAGAAGCUCUGCUUGUUGCAUUAGAGCAGUUAUCUUUGGAUCAUCCUUUUUGAAAAAUGUUCUCUGAAUCAUACUGUUUUGAACUGCCAAAUGAAUAGCAAGGAAAGAGAUUAUUGAACAUUAAAGAUUUAUCACAGAGAAUGAUCAGCAAUCAUCACCAACUAAAUUGAUAGAGAUGAUAGAUUAUGCAUGUUAUUGAUUGUCUGUCAUAAAGCCCCAGUAGCGUUCCUCAGUUUUUGUAAAGCUGGAAAAAAAACUAAUGAUUUGAAAGCUGAAUUGUGGUAGUUUGAAUGGGGCUUGAGCUAGACCUUACAUGGCCAAUGGGGUAUAAGAAUGUGGAAGUGGAAGUUGAUUCAGAGGUAGUAUUCAAUGUAUUAAACUAAAAAGGUAGCAGUUUGGCGACUGAUCCUCUUGUUCAGGAAUUUUUUCGACUUCAGCAAAGGGAUUGGAGCAUCAGGAUUAGUCAUGCAUAUAAAGAAGGAAAUCGGUAGGUGGAUUGGCAUGCUAAUGGAGGCUUAGAUAUUGAUAUUGGGAUUCGAUUUUUGUCUCAAUCCCUGGGUCUUCUUUCCUUGCUUCAGUAGGAUGAAGCAGGGUAUCUCUACCCUGUUUAUGCAGGGUGUAAGUCUCUCGGGGCCGGAUUUAGCCAAAAAAAAACAAAGAAAUAAAAAAUAACCGCGUCCUAAAUGGAAAGUCUUUGUUUUAGGUGUUUUACCAUCAAUGGAGACCUCCUUGACACCACUGACAUGAUGUUGGGAAGCCACGUUAACAUUGUGAAGGUUUUGGGCCAACACUGCAAAUGGGGGUCUAGGUUGCUGAUUUCCACAUUGUGGGUGUGAUCUGUCUCCAAAGUUGCAAUUUCCUGCAAGACCAUGGAUGUGGGACUUCCUGCAUUUGAACAAACAUGAGGUUUACUAUGCUAAUUACUUUUCCAGAUACUAUCGUCUACUGAUACCAAAACUGCACUGUACCUUAUCUUCUUAAUUGGAGGAUCACUUUCUGGUGCUCCGUCUCCAUUUAACCCAUGCUGUAACAUGAUUCUUUUGUUAUUUAAGUUGAUAUGUGUGCUUUUGUUCUCUUU